rnacentral:lncRNA from 1 species
CGAGGCAACAGAACCGGGUCCCUGUGUACACCGAAGAGCCAGGGACAGUGCUGAGAUGGAGUAGUGACCUUUGCACUCACCACGGAGCCAAAUGCUUCUUACGCAGUGGCAGAAAACGUGGAAGUUCUUUUCUCCGGGUCCUGGGCCCUCCUUGACUGAAGCUGGGGACUGACUGAGCAUGUUCACAAGAGCUAACUAACCCAGAGUCAGGAUUCAGACAUCAGUGGGUUGUCUGAACAACUUUUUUUCCAUCAGUAUUUUCAGAUUCCAAAGCUACACAAGUCCAGCAAAUUCACUUGCGAGGAGAGAAAGCUCGAUUCUAACUGUCGGCAGAACCUCAUCGUGUACUGGCGUUGGAAGGGCCAGAGUGAGUCAUUUGUAAUGAGUUUCCAUUUCGGACACUUUGCAUGAAGAACUGGAAAAGCAAGCUCGAGGAGACAGCAAGUCAAAGAAGGGCUCGGCACGUGUCCUCGAGUGAGAAGAGGCUCACAGGAUGGUUUAUUAAAGUGAACACUC